UGUUGUUCAAAAGUGAACGGUUUGAAGAUGCACACCAAGUGCUUGAUGAAAUGCUUCAACCAAACAUUUUUAAUGGUACUUGUAAUUAGCAGCUAAGAAAGCUAGAGAGAAUCAGAUUCUUUCCAACUUCUAUAGAGCCUUGUGGAGAGUUUUGAAAGAAUACAAGAAUAAGUUAGAGAUGGCUUUUACCUUUGUGGUUUACCCUUCCUUGAUCCUUGCUUAUAUGGGCCAAGCCGCGUAUCUCUCAAAGCAUCACAUUCUUGAAACCGACUACUGAAUUGGUUUCUACAUAUCCGUGCCUGACACUAUAAACAUGCAAAAACAACUAGUAUUUGAACCGGAAGACUUGGUUCCAAAUUAUUUUGGGUAUUGCUCGGGGUUUGCAGUACUUACAUGAAGAUCACACCUCAAGAUUGUUCAUAGAGAUAGUAAAGCCAUCAACAUUUUCUUCGCCGAGGAUCAAGCUUAUCUUAGCACCACGUUUGCUGGAACAUAAGGUUAUACAACCCUAUUAUGUCAUCAGGGGGAAUUGUCUGAAAAUGCCGACAUACAGUUUCAGAGUUGGGGUUCUUAAGAUUAUUUGCUGAAGGAGACACUCAUCUUACACUUUCAUCCGAAUUGCAAUAUCUCCUAGAUUAUGUCAGUCCAACGUCAUUUUACUUGGCAAGGACCUAAUCGAACCGCAUGCAAAUAAAAUAUGAGUUUUGAUUAGCUAAGACAAAAGGACCAGCUAGUGGCCAAAAUGGAAACGGGAAGAGUUUUUAAAGGAAUGAGAGAAGGUUACGUUCCAAGUCCUUCCAGGAGUGAUGUAUGUUGAGACAAAAAGUGUUGUUGCAAGUACUGCUAGGAUUGAUGCAAGUUUAUGUAUUUUGUAUUCAAAUUGACAUCUUAUGUAUGGAUUUUGGUUUAUUAUUGUUAAUAUCAUUAAUUUUGUUUUU